UUUCCUUUCUCCUUCUGUAAUGGCGCAUGGAGGUUAUGGGAAACGCAGAGUCCCUGAAGCUAAUAGUAAUAGAAACAGGCGACCCAAAUCAUUAGGUGUUGAGAAGAAGUCUAAGUCUAAGGCUGUUUCAAUCAAAAAUCAAAUUCGUUCCGUCGAACGCAUGCUCCGUAAAGAUUUGCCUCCUGAGAUUAGAGAAGUUCAAAAACAGAAAUUGGAGGAACUCAAAAAGCAGCAAGAGCUUCAGAAUCGUCUGGCUGUAG
rnacentral:misc_RNA from 1 species